GAACGCCGUAUGCUCCGAAAGGCGCACGUACGGUGUGGAGCGGGGGAAAACUUAAAGAUAAUAUCAAAAAGUUACCUAUCGCUAU
rnacentral:ncRNA from 1 species